rnacentral:rRNA from 1 species
GGGUUGUGAGGUUAAGCGACUAAGCGUACACGGUGGAUGCCCUGGCAGUCAGAGGCGAUGAAGGACGUGCUAAUCUGCGAUAAGCGUCGGUAAGGUGAUAUGAACCGUUAUAACCGGCGAUUUCCGAAUGGGGAAACCCAGUGUGUUUCGACACACUAUCAUUAACUGAAUCCAUAGGUUAAUGAGGCGAACCGGGGGAACUGAAACAUCUAAGUACCCCGAGGAAAAGAAAUCAACCGAGAUUCCCCCAGUAGCGGCGAGCGAACGGGGAGCAGCCCAGAGCCUGAAUCAGUGUGUGUGUUAGUGGAAGCGUCUGGAAAGGCGCGCGAUACAGGGUGACAGCCCCGUACACAAAAAUGCACAUGCUGUGAGCUCGAUGAGUAGGGCGGGACACGUGGUAUCCUGUCUGAAUAUGGGGGGACCAUCCUCCAAGGCUAAAUACUCCUGACUGACCGAUAGUGAACCAGUACCGUGAGGGAAAGGCGAAAAGAACCCCGGCGAGGGGAGUGAAAAAGAACCUGAAACCGUGUACGUACAAGCAGUGGGAGCACGCUUAGGCGUGUGACUGCGUACCUUUUGUAUAAUGGGUCAGCGACUUAUAUUCUGUAGCAAGGUUAACCGAAUAGGGGAGCCGAAGGGAAACCGAGUCUUAACUGGGCGUUAAGUUGCAGGGUAUAGACCCGAAACCCGGUGAUCUAGCCAUGGGCAGGUUGAAGGUUGGGUAACACUAACUGGAGGACCGAACCGACUAAUGUUGAAAAAUUAGCGGAUGACUUGUGGCUGGGGGUGAAAGGCCAAUCAAACCGGGAGAUAGCUGGUUCUCCCCGAAAGCUAUUUAGGUAGCGCCUCGUGAAUUCAUCUCCGGGGGUAGAGCACUGUUUCGGCAAGGGGGUCAUCCCGACUUACCAACCCGAUGCAAACUGCGAAUACCGGAGAAUGUUAUCACGGGAGACACACGGCGGGUGCUAACGUCCGUCGUGAAGAGGGAAACAACCCAGACCGCCAGCUAAGGUCCCAAAGUCAUGGUUAAGUGGGAAACGAUGUGGGAAGGCCCAGACAGCCAGGAUGUUGGCUUAGAAGCAGCCAUCAUUUAAAGAAAGCGUAAUAGCUCACUGGUCGAGUCGGCCUGCGCGGAAGAUGUAACGGGGCUAAACCAUGCACCGAAGCUGCGGCAGCGACGCUUAUGCGUUGUUGGGUAGGGGAGCGUUCUGUAAGCCUGUGAAGGUGUGCUGUGAGGCAUGCUGGAGGUAUCAGAAGUGCGAAUGCUGACAUAAGUAACGAUAAAGCGGGUGAAAAGCCCGCUCGCCGGAAGACCAAGGGUUCCUGUCCAACGUUAAUCGGGGCAGGGUGAGUCGACCCCUAAGGCGAGGCCGAAAGGCGUAGUCGAUGGGAAACAGGUUAAUAUUCCUGUACUUGGUGUUACUGCGAAGGGGGGACGGAGAAGGCUAUGUUGGCCGGGCGACGGUUGUCCCGGUUUAAGCGUGUAGGCUGGUUUUCCAGGCAAAUCCGGAAAAUCAAGGCUGAGGCGUGAUGACGAGGCACUACGGUGCUGAAGCAACAAAUGCCCUGCUUCCAGGAAAAGCCUCUAAGCAUCAGGUAACAUCAAAUCGUACCCCAAACCGACACAGGUGGUCAGGUAGAGAAUACCAAGGCGCUUGAGAGAACUCGGGUGAAGGAACUAGGCAAAAUGGUGCCGUAACUUCGGGAGAAGGCACGCUGAUAUGUAGGUGANNNNNNNNNNNNNNNNNNNNNNNNNNNNNNNNNNNNNNNNNNNNNNNNNNNNNNNNNNNNNNNNNNNNNNNNNNNNNNNNNNNNNNNNNNNNNNNNNNNNNNNNNNNNNNNNGCGAAGCUCUUGAUCGAAGCCCCGGUAAACGGCGGCCGUAACUAUAACGGUCCUAAGGUAGCGAAAUUCCUUGUCGGGUAAGUUCCGACCUGCACGAAUGGCGUAAUGAUGGCCAGGCUGUCUCCACCCGAGACUCAGUGAAAUUGAACUCGCUGUGAAGAUGCAGUGUACCCGCGGCAAGACGGAAAGACCCCGUGAACCUUUACUAUAGCUUGACACUGAACAUUGAGCCUUGAUGUGUAGGAUAGGUGGGAGGCUUAGAAGUGUGGACGCCAGUCUGCAUGGAGCCGACCUUGAAAUACCACCCUUUAAUGUUUGAUGUUCUAACGUUGACCCGUAAUCCGGGUUGCGGACAGUGUCUGGUGGGUAGUUUGACUGGGGCGGUCUCCUCCUAAAGAGUAACGGAGGAGCACGAAGGUUGGCUAAUCCUGGUCGGACAUCAGGAGGUUAGUGCAAUGGCAUAAGCCAGCUUGACUGCGAGCGUGACGGCGCGAGCAGGUGCGAAAGCAGGUCAUAGUGAUCCGGUGGUUCUGAAUGGAAGGGCCAUCGCUCAACGGAUAAAAGGUACUCCGGGGAUAACAGGCUGAUACCGCCCAAGAGUUCAUAUCGACGGCGGUGUUUGGCACCUCGAUGUCGGCUCAUCACAUCCUGGGGCUGAAGUAGGUCCCAAGGGUAUGGCUGUUCGCCAUUUAAAGUGGUACGCGAGCUGGGUUUAGAACGUCGUGAGACAGUUCGGUCCCUAUCUGCCGUGGGCGCUGGAGAACUGAGGGGGGCUGCUCCUAGUACGAGAGGACCGGAGUGGACGCAUCACUGGUGUUCGGGUUGUCAUGCCAAUGGCACUGCCCGGUAGCUAAAUGCGGAAGAGAUAAGUGCUGAAAGCAUCUAAGCACGAAACUUGCCCCGAGAUGAGUUCUCCCUGACUCCUUGAGAGUCCUGAAGGAACGUUGAAGACGACGACGUUGAUAGGCCGGGUGUGUAAGCGCAGCGAUGCGUUGAGCUAACCGGUACUAAUGAACCGUGAGGCUUAACCUUACAACGCCGAAGGUGUUU